AUCUUUCCUUGCGUUUGCUUACUGCUGUAUAAACAACUACAGGAAGGAGAUCUUCACGCCAAUGUACUUCUUUCUUGUUCGGAAGCCUCUUCUGGAAUGAGCUCUUGGAUCACCUUUUCAGAGAGAGAAGGCAAGUGGUCAUUUCGAAGAAGCCGAGGAGAGGGAACCUGGAAUCAAGAAAACCUUCAGCUCUCCUGUGUAGGAGGAAAGUUAACGAACAGUGUAGUAACUGUUCAGCUUUGUGUUUAUUCAGUUGUUUUGCUGCUUGAGGUUAUUCGUUUCUAGGUGGGGGUUGGAAUCCUUUUCGCCAUAAACCUCUCAGUGGCAUAAAUAAGAUGGUUUGCAUAAGAGUACUUCAUGGAUACCGUAAGGGCUACUACUGAAAGAGAAAUGUUUAAGCAGCAUGGUAUGUGAGCAACUAGUGAUAAUUAUUCCAUCCUUUUUUUUAAUAUAAAGCAGGAGUUUUGUCAUGCGUCAUGUCU
rnacentral:lncRNA from 1 species